rnacentral:rRNA from 1 species
GAAUUUUGGACAAGGGGGGAAACGCUGAUCCAUCCAUCCCGCGUGUAUGAUGAAGGCCUUCGUGUUGUAAAGUACUUUUGGCAGAGAAGAAAAGGUAUCCCCUAAUACGGCUUACUGCUGACGGAAGCUGAAGAUUAAGCACCGGCUACCUACGUACUUGCAGCAGCGGUAAUACGUAGGGUGCAAUCGUUAAACGGAAUUACUGGGCGUAAAGCGUGUGUAGGCGGUUCGGAAAGAAAGAUGUGAAAUCCCAGGGCUCAACCUUGGAACUGCAUUUUUAACUGCCGAGCUAGAGUAUGUCAGAGGGGGGUAGAAUUCCACGUGUAGCAGUGAAAUGCGUAGAUAUGUGGAGGAAUACCGAUGGCGAAGGCAGCCCCCUGGGAUAAUACUGACGCUCAGACACGAAAGCGUGGGGAGCAAACAGG